CUUCUCUCAGCAUUGCACACUGGAGAGUUUCCAGUACUCUGCCUGUCUCGGGUAAGGGAGGGAGAGUCAAGCAGAGGCCUAUCCAUUCCAUUCCUAGUUUGGGCAGUGGCUAGUGAGUGGAAGGCAAUCUGCUGCAAGU